rnacentral:piRNA from 1 species
AACCGCGUCGGGAACAGACGCCGAGAGA